rnacentral:rRNA from 1 species
UACGUAGGGGCCUAGCGUUGUCCGGAUUUAUUGGGCGUAAAGAGCUCGUAGGCGGUUUGGUGAGUCGGGUGUGAAAUCUCCACGCUCAACGUGGAGGGGCCACCCGAUACUGCCAUGACUAGAGUCCGGUAGGGGAGUGUGGAAUUCCCGGUGUAGCGGUGAAAUGCGCAGAUAUCAGGAAGAACACCAAUGGCGAAGGCAGCUCUCUGGGACGGUACUGACGCUGAGACGCGAAAGCGUGGGGAGCGAACAGG